GACAUCAUUCUUUCUCAUUUAGUGACAGCAGAUGGUAAACAUGAGGGAUUUUCUAACUCAACAGUUUCUUGGGUUGUGAUAUUUCAUUCAUGCAGGUGACGCACAAACAACAACAACAACUGAAAACACAAAAUCAGUUACAGCCACAACAACAACUAAUGAUACUUCAACAAAACUACAAGCUCGUACAGAUUGUUCUGCUCUGGACUACAUAAUGUUGGUUAUGCGUGUGGCUGAACUCCUCCUAAUUACUGUGAUUACUGUUCUUCUCAUCAGAGCUCGAGAGACUACCUGACAACAACACAGUGACCUACAGCAGCGUGAAAGCUUCCUCUUCUUCUGCU